UGAGGCAUCUGCUUUGGACAAUUUGAGACAAUGGUUCAGGAUGGGGAGGCACAAUUAAUCUGCACUUCUCCCUGCUAUCUGUGCUUAUACCAUAAAAAUAAUUGUCUCCUGUGUCUGCCUGGUAGUAUAUAACAGGAGAUUCAUGGAAAGGGCCUGUGGGAAUCAGGCUUCUCACAUAACUCAAUCUUAUCGCCAAUUUUGGUUCUGACUUCCUUAACUCUGCUAACACUAACAAGCUUUUUGUUAAAUAAUUUAGCUUUUUUAUCCAAACAGGGCUCCAGGUUAUUAUAUUCUCAGAGGUUGGCCAGAGGCAAAAGUAUGACUUUCCUUCCGAUGAGUCAGUUUUUAACACAGAUCUCUAUCUUUAUUAUGGGAUAUUACCAAAUCUGUAAGAAGGGGAAAAAUUAACAAACCACUCUGACAUCCUGAAUAUCCCCUACCAAAUCUCAUAAUGUAAAAUCAGGUUAAAUACAUGGCUUUCCUGCAAAGUGUAAUAAGCUUUUUGUCCAUGUGUUUGAUAACUAGUACUAAGAACUGUAAUUUCCCUUACUUGGGAUUAUUGUGAUUCCCACUGCCUCUCACACUACUUCUUACUAGGCAAUUUCAAGUUUGGAAUAUGAUAAAUUUCAGCAACAGUUUAGGCCAAGUGUUGAUGAUGUUGGAGCAAAACAGGAGAAGGACCCUAGGUCCCUGAAUCUACAUUUGGAGAAGAAUAGGCUUCCAAUCAGGACCAUCUGCUUUAGACAGCUACAUGAAUUCCAGGUGCUCAGCUCCGGGAAAAUUUAGCCUAUUAGUUCCUUAUUUACCUACUCUAUUCUUUCUGGCACUUUCAUGAGAUGGAGCUGGAAAUUCAGAAGAAACAUGUGACUUAUGGCUGAAUAACAGAACCAAGGAAUUAAAAGUAGUAAUGACCCAAGAACAACAAAGCAACUGGAGGAGAUAACAGG